ensembl:lncRNA
AGGGACGACCCCCCCACCCCGCUUUUCCCUCAGUCGGCUCUCUCUCCCAAUGACGUCGGCCAGGCUUCACAGUGCUCUUUCCUUGUUAUUGACAACUCCGCCCCGGCUCUCGCCCCGCCCCCCCGGCCUCUAUUUAAGAUUCAUCAUCAAUAGUUAGUGCCUCCUUCUGGUCUGUCUACACUGUACCAUCCCCCUCCCCACAGUCCCCCACUCCCUCCCUUCCUCUUCACCACCCGGCCAUCCUAACCCCCAAGUGCGCGUGCCCGUCCUCCCCAGCCCUACUCUCUCUCCUCCCUCCCUUCCCCACCACCAAGUCGGAGCCAUCCCACGCGCGCGCGCUCGAUCCUGGCUGUCUGGAGUCAGUUGCUCCAGCGCCCGCGCGCGCUGGUCUGUCCCUGCCCCUGCCCCUGCUGCCGCUGCUGCCGACGCAGGGGCCGCCGGGGCCUCGUCCUACCGCCACCAGCGGAGCGCGAGCGUCGGGAGCCAGGCGCGCGGCCCCCUGCCCAGGCUCAGCCAGGACAAUCUGGAAGAAUGAAAGGAUGGCAGGGAGACCAGCACUUUCUGUAUUUGUAAUUACAGCAGUUAACCUCAAAUGGGUGAGAAGAAAGUCACCUCAUAAAAAGAAUCUUUUAUAAAAAUGGAAAUUGAUAAUUUCCCUACUAAAUGGAGGCCCAUUUUGAUUAGUUUGAUGAUGUGUGAAAAUUACUGCUUUGUUAGAAAUAGAGCCUUUUGCUUUAGUUCACUGAAGGGCCCGUAUUUUCUGCAACUAUAGGCUAAUAGGCUUAACUGUAGUAUAGUCAAAAAUUCUAGAAUAUGAUUGCCAGCCAAUAUGUCUAUAUGGAGGCAGACUACCCAGUUUCCACAUAUCUAUCUACUCUAGCAAAAAUUUGAAAUUUGCAUGACUGAAUUAUCAAGAAACUUUUAAGUGAGAAACUAUACUAUCCCACAUACUAUUUAUGCACAAAAAUUUAGCCUAAAGUUCACAGAUAGUAGAAAAUGGGGCCCACCAACAAUAGUACCUACAAACAAACUGACAAACUGCCAACUUAACCAGAAAUGGGUCAGAGAUGUAAAGCUUACAAGCAAGCAGUUUAAGAUUGAAGGAACCAUGGUCAGUAUCACACAAGAUCUGUAAGCUUCUAAAAAUGAGAGGAGAUUUUGGAAUACAAUAUUCCAAAAAGCAAAAGAUACAGUAGUUAGGUCCAAGAAUAACCCAGCAAAACUGAGUGUAAUCUUACAAAGAGGAAAAAAUAUAUUUAAUGUAGAAGAGGACUUUGAAGCAUUCCUGAUGAAUAUAUCAGAGUUGAAUUGGAACUUUGAAAAAUUAACAGAAGAAGAAACCAAAAAAUGUAAAGUUAGCCUAGAAGAGGCUGUAUAAUGAUGUAGAACUAUCAUUCUGAUCAAAUGAGAAAAGAUUUAGACUGUCAGAACCUUAAGGAAUUUGGAGGGUAUUGAAAAGUUUAAGAAUAAUUAAGAUGGGGGAGAAUUCAUUCAGAAGAGAAGAAAGAGAAGAGAGGGUAAAAGGAGAAAUAUACAAGUACAGAGAAGAGGAAUAAGAGGGUGGAAUAUAUUAUUUCUCAAAAUUAGGACAAGGAGAAGAAUGUCUAAAUAUAGGAAAAGGAUCAAGAGGAUGAAUGUUUAAUGAAAUUCAUUCUGAAUAAUGGGGGUUAAACACAUACAUUGCAAUUUGAUAUAAAAAUACAUCAAAUUUAAUAGGGAAAUGUGAGGACAGAAUAGGUAUGAUGCCCAAAAGGGAGGAUAAUAUUGAGGAGGGAAUAAUCAAACUUUUUGAUCCUAAAGGAAGAAUAGAGAAAAAAGGAAAAGCAAAAGAAUUAGAAUCUAAGAGAAUGUCUGAACAAAUUGUGAUAUAUGUAUAUAGUAUAUUUCAUUACACUAUAAGAAAUGAUGAAAAGCAAUUUCAGAGAAUCCAGGGCAGUUUGAAUUGAUGGAAAGUGAAGUAAAUAAAGGCAAGAUAGCAAUUUAUACA